rnacentral:rRNA from 1 species
GGCGGCGUGCCUAACACAUGCAAGUCGUACGAGAAAGUUGGCUUCGGCCAAUGAGUAAAGUGGCGCACGGGUGAGUAACGCGUGGAUAAUCUGCCCUUCAGCGGGGAAUAACCCAUCGAAAGGUGGGCUAAUACCCCAUAACACUGUUUACAACUGUCAAACAGUCAAAGAGAGCCUCUGCUUGCAAGCUUUUACUGAAGGUUGAGUCCGCGUACCAUUAGCUAGUUGGUAGGGUAAUGGCCUACCAAGGCGACGAUGGUUAGCUGGUCUGAGAGGAUGAUCAGCCACACUGGAACUGAGACACGGUCCAGACUCCUACGGGAGGCAGCAGUGAGGAAUCUUGCGCAAUGGGGGAAACCCUGACGCAGCAACGCCGCGUGAGUGAGGAAGGUCUUCGGGUCGUAAAGCUCUGUCAGGCGGGAAGAAAUGCAUGGAGGUGAACAGCCGCCAUGCUUGACGGUACCGCCAGAGGAAGCACCGGCUAACUCCGUG